rnacentral:ribozyme from 1 species
AAUAUUGCACUGGUAGGGCAUGCAUCCGAAGAUUCUCAAAGGAUAAUAGAGUGGUAUCCUGUCUCUCCAAAUAUUUGAGCUUGGGUAUACGGGGAAACCCAACCCCUUGGGAGGAUGUGUGAUAUGGCUAAAUUCAGAGAA